UGGUGUAUGAGCAGUUAGCGC
rnacentral:siRNA from 1 species